UGGGGAAUAUUGGACAAUGGGGGAAACCCUGAUCCAGCGACGCCGCGUGUGUGAAGAAGGCCUGCGGGUUGUAAAGCACUUUCGGUGGGAACGAAAUAUGCCGGGCUAAUACCCCGGUAGGCUGACGUUACCCAAUGAAGAAGCACCGGCUAACUCUGUGCCAGCAGCCGCGGUAAUACAGAGGGUGCGAGCGUUAAUCGGAAUUACUGGGCGUAAAGCGCACGCAGGCGGCAUCGUAAGUCGGAUGUGAAAUCCCCGGGCUCAACCUGGGAACUGCAUUCGAAACUGCGACGCUCGAGUAUGGGAGAGGGCAGCGGAAUUCCGGGUGUAGCGGUGAAAUGCGUAGAUAUCCGGAGGAACAUCAGUGGCGAAGGCGGCUGUCUGGCCCAAUACUGACGCUCA
rnacentral:rRNA from 1 species